AGACUGCACACCAGCUAGAAAGGAGAGCAGGAUACGAAACCUGUGGUGUAGAGCUGAAAAAUGGGCAGGAAGACUAAUUCACCGAGCCCAGAAGAAAUGCCUGAAGCAUGCCAAAGUGCGUAGCAUCAUCACCUCUCCGGAAACUGAAAAUCAGGGAGAGGGGGAAGGUGAGACGGCAGCUAAUCCUCUCUCAGAGAAGGGAGAGUGCCAGGAAAAGAGCGUCUCUGGAGAGGAAAAGGAGACCCCAUAUGAGGAAGAAAAUGCCCCGUCUGAUCGACAGCUGCAAGGGGGUAAGAGUGGCCCAGGAGUCCAGCUGCAGGGCACCCAGAAUGGGCAGCUGGAGGGAGAAGACUAUGAAAAGUGGCAGUCAGCAGCAGAGGAAGAUGAAAAAGAAACUGUGUUCAUCCUGGAGCCUGCUGGGGGACAGGACAGCAAAGAGCUGGAAAUCAAGCCCCAAGUGUUGAAGAAAGAUGAAGCUCCCUAUGAGGAGAUGGGAGCCCUGCCGGAGCCCUGGCAGCAAAGGGGAGAGAUAUGUGAGAGCCUCUCUAGAGAAAGAGACCCCCUGUGAGGUGGCAGCCUUAUCUGUGCAGCUACGGCAAGAGAUCAAAAGUGACCCAGAGGUCCAGCUGCAGAGCACCCAGCCUGGGGUGGCUGAAGAGGCCCAGAUGGUGAAUGAGCAGCUGGAGGGGGUGGAGGAAGAAGAAGAAGCCAUGAGUAUGCCAGCACCUGCCAGGGAGGAGGACUGCGGACAGCUGGAAGGAAAUCCCCUGGUAAGGGAAGAAACUUUAGAGCAAGUUCAAGUAGGGGCUGAAGAGGAAAUGCUACCGAUGAAUUCCUCUGCUCCGUGCGAGAAAAUACAGGCGAAGGAAUGUGUGGGAGAUGGGCAGCUGCUGCCAGCUCCCUUCACUCUGUGUGCUAGAGAAACAGAUCAGGGAGAGGGAGGGGCAUGCCCACCAGAUCUUUGCGUUCUGUGUGCUCCUGUUACAGAGACAGUGCCGAAAGAAAAGCUGGAGGUGUGUGUGCCUGCUGCAAAAGGGAAGAAGCAGGUGGGAGUUCAAGUCCAAGCGGAGCUCCCAGUGCCUGCAGAGAAGGGUGAGUUAAAAUCCUCCAGUGACAUUGCCCCUGGGAUGCUCCGUGAUGAUCCCAUAAAGGGAGAAGCAAGUCCUAUGAUGGGGGUAGUGCCCGGGCGCAUUCCAGCCGUAACAAGCACCCCGCGCCCUGUGAAGGUUAAAAGGCACAGGGAGGGUUGUCUACAUUUGUUUGAGCCUCUGAGUUAUUGUGGAAAAGGGCAAAAGCAAUUUCUCGCUGCCGACCUGGGAGGGUUGGGGCAGCUAAUUGCAAAGAAGAUUCCCCCCGAUAAAGUUGCCUACCAGCUGGAAGACCAAACUUUCUCUUGGGCAGAAGAGCAAGGUCAGCCAAGUCAGGGGGUGGAAUGGUGUGCUGUUUGGGCAGUGAUCACAGGUGAGACAAGAGUGUCCCUGCAUGUCUACAUAAGCCCCUGGGCAAAGAGUAAAGAAGUAAAGAAAUGGGCAGAAGAGAAAAGAGUGGCUUGGCUCUACCCUCCAAGAGCAGCCGCCCUAAUCGAAAGAACCAGCGGUCUGAAACAGCAAAUCAAACUGCUGGCAGGCAAGGCAGAGGGGAAGCACUGGAAAGGAAGCAAUAUGGAAGCAGCGUCACCCAUGGAGCGGCUUGUGAAUCCUCCUUCGCUUCAGGAAGCAGGGGGGUACGUGCGGGCACAGCUGCUGAAAGUCGUUGGCUUAACAGCAGAAGAGAUCCCUGGACGGCCUCUUCAACAGAAGACCUGCCGCGCGCUGCCAAGGAAACACAGCGGUUCCUGGAGAGGAAUCCUGGCACCCUGCCAGUGGCCGAAGAAAUCGGCUUGAACUAGAACCUCCUGAAACUCACGAUGGGGAAGAGCCAUGUGGGCGAAGUUAUGCACAUGAAACUGCAUGCUGGUUUUUCUGAUACAGCUCACUACAUGCUUGGAUAAUCUGCUGCCUUUCAUUGGUCCGGACAGCGUCUGAAGUUAACUCAGCUAUAGCCUGGCCAAGCUGGAAAAUCUGCUCAUCGAUAUCUCAUCAUGCUGAUUUUAAUAAAAGCUUGUUGUGUGCGUUUUAUGAUUUUCUAAAUGAGACCAAACAAUUGCAAAAAUCUUUACAGUCAGUGGUUACCCCACAGGAUACUGAGAAAGGGCUCAAAUGGUUUGACGUGAGGGCCACCCAAGCCAGAGCAGUUAGAGUAGGUACCCACAAGUCCAAUGCCACUGUCAGGAUUAGAGGGGGGGUUGGGCAGUUGUUUGAUGGGCUAGGGUGGAUCACCCCUUUAAGAGUAAAUGCCCCACCACAGCCUGAAGUCUGUUGGGAACAAGUAAAGCAUAAUAGAACUGCAGCUACGUUUCAAAGACGAGUGGGUUUUAGCAGAGGAUGUCAAACAGUGCACAAGUGUCCCAAUCCUACUGAUAGUGAGCAAGGCUGGAUAUGUACUAGUUGGACCCUACGACCUGGCAUUAAUUGAGGAGCCCCUAAUGGAAGUUACGUUCUCUGGGAUUGUUAUGGGGACCCCAUAGAUUUGAAAAAACCCUAGAAAGUCCUCUUGUAGGAAAUUACAGAGCUUGGAAGGUCAGAUGGCAAAGAGACAUUUUCAGCUCAGCUGAGUAUGCUUGGGCCCUGUUUCCCAGUGGAGGGGUGGCUAAAGUAAACAUUUUUGGAAGAGCAAUGGAAGUAGCUUUAAAUGCCACAGUUCUGGCCCUAGUAGCUAUAGGGAUAGGAAUGAUAAACAUGAGAGCAGUAAUCCUAUAGAAUAAAUUCGCCCUAACUGUGAGCAUGGGGGGGAACAACAAAAAUGUUGUAUGUAUAUUCCAGAUAAAUAAAGUAUAGUAAAUUAUAGUGUAGCAGUAUUAUAUAGACAAAGUAAUAAAAUAAAGCAUUUGGAAGAAGAUUCUUUCUUAAAUCCUAUUUUAGAGUGGUUUCAGGGAAUAGGUGGCUGGUGAAAACAAUUAUUCUCCAUUGGGAUCACUCUUAUUUGUGGUGUUAUAUUAAUCUGCAUAUGUUUGUCUUGCUGGCGUAGUUUUAAUGGGUAAAUAGUUAAGACUACCCUUGGGGGUCAACCGACAGGGCAAAAGAAGAACCAGCCCCUUUCUGGGGUAAGAAGACCUCUGUAACGCGAAGCAUUGACGUCCUUUGACCAUCCAGGGGUGGAAUGUAUACCUUGUGCCAGCUAAUGAUUUUAAGCAAGCUGUUAUAGCCUUAAGUUAAUCAAUAUAUAUUCAAUAUGUAUUUGUUAGCAAAGCCUGGAGGCUUGUAUUCCCCUUUCAGGCCCCAGCAUCUUUGGGUAUGUCAGAUCACCUCAUAGCCACCUGCAGUCUAAUCUAGGUGUUUUAAUGAGGAUAUGAUGGCUUGCCCAGUAUGAUGCUGGGAAUGUACCUUGUUAGUUAGAGAAAUAUCAAAGGAGUUUAAUUAGGCAUAUGUUUAAGUAUAUGUUUAUUAGUAGGCAGUUUAUAGUUGGCUUGCCUAGUAUGGUGUUGGAAAGCACCUUGUUAGACUUCAGAGAGUCCUGAUAGGCAUAGAUUCCAUGGAUGGGUCGAAGGACGGUCAAUGACACGAGUCAAGUAACGGUCAAAGAGAACUUUGCUUGUUAGUAAAGAUGAAGAUAAAGAUGGUAGCCAUAUAGUUUGCCAAAAGAAGAUGUCAAGGUGUUCCAAGAAAGAUAUUAUAGUUUUUUAGCAAUUAGUCUGCUUUAAAGGUGUUCUGUGAAAAGGUCAGAACUGCCAAUUAUAUGCAACAUAUGUUACUUCAAAGUGUAUAAUCUCAUUAAUCAUGUAUGUAACUCCAUGUGUAUGCCAAUGAUAUGUGCCAAGAUUUAUACUAUAUAAGCAUGAUCUGUGCCCAGCAUGAGUGUUCAGUCUCUGACGUCCACUACUGCAGAGCGGUGGGACUGAUCCACUUUUAUUGGGAAUACUUGGCUGAAUGCUGUAAGUUACUCAAUAAAUUUUAACUCUUUGUAAGCAAACCUCUUGUCUGCAUUUCAUCUCUGGUAAUCCAAA